AGUGAACGCUGGCGGCAGGCCUAACACAUGCAAGUCGAACGGCAGCGCAGCAGUAGCAAUACUGUGGGCGGCGAGUGGCGGGCGGGUGAGGAAUACAUGGGAAUCUGCCCUGUCGUGGGGGAUAACGUAGGGAAACUUACGCUAAUACCGCAUACGACCGGAAGGUGAAAGCGGCGGACCGCAAGGCGUCGCGCGACUGGAUGAGCCCAUGUCGGAUUAGCUAGUUGGCGGGGUAAAGGCCCACCAAGGCGACGAUCCGUAGCUGGCCUGAGAGGAUGAUGAGGCACACUGUAACUGAGACACGGUCCAGACUCCUACGGGAGGAAGCAGUGGGGAAUAUUGGACAAUGGGCGCAAGCCUGAUCCAGCCAUGCCGCGUGAGUGAAGAAGGCCUUCGGGUUGUAAAGCUCUUUUGUCCGGAAAGAAAAGCUUCGGGUUAAUACCCCGGGGUCCUGACGGUACCGGAAGAAUAAGCACCGGCUAACUUCGUGCCAGCCGCCGCAGUAACAC
rnacentral:rRNA from 1 species